rnacentral:ncRNA from 1 species
GCUAGGGGUGCGACGAAGCUGAGAAUGGCCGGCAAAGGCCAGAACCCUCAUUACUUGAACCGGGUAAUACCGGCGUAAGGAAGCA